GCCUAACACAUGCAAGUCGAACGGAACUUCUUCGACAGAAUUCUUCGGAAGGAAGUUGAUUAAGUUUAGUGGCGGACGGGUGAGUAACGCGUGAGUAACCUGCCUUUGAGAGGGGAAUAACUUCCCGAAAGGGAUGCUAAUACCGCAUGACGCAUAUUUAUCGCGUGGUAGAUAUGCCAAAGAUUUAUCGCUCAAAGAUGGACUCGCGUCCGAUUAGCCAGUUGGCGGGGUAACGGCCCACCAAAGCGACGAUCGGUAGCCGGACUGAGAGGUUGAACGGCCACAUUGGGACUGAGACACGGCCCAGACUCCUACGGGAGGCAGCAGUGGGGGAUAUUGCGCAAUGGGGGAAACCCUGACGCAGCAACGCCGCGUGAAGGAUGAAGGUUUUCGGAUUGUAAACUUCUUUUAUUUAGGACGAACAAUGACGGUACUAAAUGAAUAAGCUCCGGCUAACUACGUGCCAGCCGCCGCCGUAA
rnacentral:rRNA from 1 species